GAUGCGGACCAAGGGAGAUACAGGACAAGCUGGUGGCAUAUCAGAUUGGGAAAGAUUUUGCCUACGUUGACCAGAAGAGCUGUGCUCUGCCCAACUGUAACAACAGAAGUUUCCAAGAUAUACUUCCUGGACAGCCCAAUGGACUGCAGUGCUAUACCUGCAAGGAAAGAGGGGAUGGGGAAUGUGCCCUGGAUAGACUGCACAUUUUGAACUGCACAGGAGAAAUGAAUCGGUGUCUUCAUGUCAUGGAUAAAUAUAACAGAACUGUGACUAUCCAUAAAGGUUGUGCGACAGAGUCUAUGUGUAGCAACUUCGUUAGUAUAUAUUUCAAUCUGAUCCGGCAGGAUUCUAUUCCAGAAUGUUGCAAAAAAUCUCUCUGCAAUCAAGCUGCAGGUUCUUCAUGUCGAGAGAUGAUCGUUUGGUUGGUGGCCCUGUUGUGCUUGGCAUGGUUGGCUUAAAAAUACCAAAGAUUAACCAAAUCUGCUGCCAAAAAGUCUCUCAUCUACUUUCCAAAUGCUUUUUUAAAUGUGAUGUGAAAUCAGGGUCUUGAUGUUUCCAUAACCGAAAUGCAAGUCCAAUGGCUUUGUUGGUGAAAGCAAGAUUUUGACUGAAGAGUUUUUCCUUUUCUCUUUCUCCUGCUUGUCUGUGAAGCAGUGUUUUUGUGCCUGCAUAUAAAAAGGGGGUGAGAUUCUAGUGUGGAUCUUCUGUGCCAUACGAUAAAUCUCAAAGCAAGCUCCCCCUAAAGAGCUGGGAGAAGAGUUGUGAAGGUGAAGAUGCUCUGAAGUAGAGUCUGAUGGUAUGGACAUACUCUGCAGUUUUCUUGGCAUGAAUAUGGGGAAACCAACCUGAGACCUUCCACAUAGGAAGCAGGCCACAGCCAUUCAUGGAAUAACAGUUGAUUGCUGUUCAUUGAUCUGUAUCUGGAAAUAUUGAUUGUAUAAUCUUGCUAAUACUCAGGACUUUUAGAGCAGGACUAACUCAGGUGCUUCAGAUGUUCCUGAGCAAGCCUAGCUCUAUUUUUGACUCUUGGGGUUUGCUUGUUGGAAAUGUUAUGGGAGAGUUUGAUAUCUCAUGAAAAUUGUUUAUUAAAAG
rnacentral:lncRNA from 1 species